UACGGAGGGUGCAAGCGUUAAUCGGAAUUACUGGGCGUAAAGCGCACGCAGGCGGUCUGUCAAGUCGGAUGUGAAAUCCCCGGGCUCAACCUGGGAACUGCAUCCGAAACUGGCAGGCUAGAGUCUUGUAGAGGGGGGUAGAAUUCCAGGUGUAGCGGUGAAAUGCGUAGAGAUCUGGAGGAAUACCGGUGGCGAAGGCGGCCCCCUGGCCAAAGACUGACGCUCAGGUGCGAAAGCGUGGGGAGCAAACAGGAUUAGAUACCCUGGUAGUCCACGCCGUAAACGAUGUCGACUUGGAGGUGGUGGUCUUGAGGCGUGGGUGCCGGAGCUAACGCGUUAAGUCGACCGCCUGGGGAGUAUGGCCGCAAGGUUAAA
rnacentral:rRNA from 1 species